AUUGAACGCUGGCGGCAGGCCUAACACAUGCAAGUCGAACGAGUGGCGGACGGGUGAGUAAUGUAUGGGAAACUGCCUGAUGGAGGGGGAUAACUCCUGGAAACGGUAGCUAAUACCACAUACCAUCGGAUGUGCCCAGAGGGGAUUCGCUAUUAGGUGGGGUAAAGGCUCACAUAGGCGACGAUCCCUAGCUGGUCUGAGAGGAUGACAAGCCAAACUGGAACUGUGACACGGUCAAGAAUCAUACGGGAGGCAGCAGGGGGGAAUAUUGCACAAUGGGCGCAAGCCUGAUGCAGCCAAGCCGCGUGUAUGAAGAAGGCCUUCGGGUUGUAAAGUACUUUCAGCGGGGAGGCGUUACCCGCAGAAGAAGCACCGGCUAACUCCGUGCCAGCCGCCGCGGUAAUAC
rnacentral:rRNA from 1 species